CAGAGGGUGCAAGCGUUGUUCGGAAUUACUGGGCGUAAAGCGCGCGCAGGCGGAUCCUGCAAGUCAGAAGUGAAAUCUCAUUGCUCAACGAUGAGGCUGCUUUGGAUACUGCGGAUCUGGAGACCGGUAGAGGCUGGUAGAAUUGCAGGUGUAGCGGUGGAAUGCGUAGAGAUCUGCAAGAAUACCCGUGGCGAAGGCGGCCAGCUGGGCCGGUUCUGACGCUGAGGCGCGAAAGCGUGGGGAGCAAACAGGAUUAGAUACCCUGGUAGUCCACGCCGUAAACGAUGGGCACUAGGUGCUGGGGGGAGCGACCCCGUCAGUGCCGUAGCUAACGCGAUAAGUGCCCCGCCUGGGGAGUACGGCCGCAAGGCUG
rnacentral:rRNA from 1 species